AUGCAGACUUGUUUAGAAAUAAAUAGUUUUAAGUGUUUAAUAAUCUGUUAAGAAAAAUAUUUUUAAGUAUGUAGAAUUAAUUAGUAUAGUAAAAUUUAAGGCUUGGACUAUAGUUCAAAAGUACCGUGAGGGAAAGUUUAAAUAAGAAUGAAAAUUUAAUUAUGGAAAAGAAAAUAUUAAAACUUGUACCUUUUGUAUCAGGGGGAAUUUAAAUUUUCUGGAUAAGUUGGAUAUCCCGAAAAAAGAAUAGCUAAAAAAUUAAGAUUGUCUUAGUCGUAAAUAAGUUUUUAAUAGUUUUUUAGUGGUGAAACACUAAUCGAGUCUUUUUAUAUCUGGUUGUUUCAGAAAGAAAUUUAAUUUUGUUCGAAUGUGAUUAAAAUUAAUUCGAGUGAAUAAUUGGAGGGAAAAGCUUCUGGUUAAUAAAUUAAGUAUAGGGUAAUAUGAGUAAAUCUAUUUUAACUAAGCUUAGAAGUAGUUAUGUUAGUAAAGUGUUUUAACUAAAAUUUUUAAAUCGUUGCUAUUUAUGUCACCCUUGCUUUGAUAAGUAUGAAAUUUUAACAGUAAAUGUUUUAUUGUUAGUAAUAAUGAUUUUAUUAGUAGAAAUGUCUUUGUGAAUAAAUUGGUUAAGUAAAAUAAAAAUUAAUUUUUGUAAUUAAGUUAGAGAUGCAUUAAAGGAACUCGGCAAACCGAAUUUCUGCCUGUUUAUCAAAAACAUGUCUUUAUGAAUAAUUUAUAUAAAGUCUAGCCUGCCCAGUGAUGUUUAAGUUUAACGGCCGCGGUAGUAUGACCGUGCUAAGGUAGCAU
rnacentral:rRNA from 1 species